rnacentral:lncRNA from 1 species
AGAUAACACGCACAAGACUAUAAUUUUUGGUGAUUUCUCUGAUAUAAUCUUUAGUUUAAAGUAUCUCUGCUUUUUGCAGGACAAGGACUCUAUUUUCAGUUUCUGAAAAAGAGCAAUGAUAGACUACAUCUUCAAAAAACAUAAAGCUUUUGAUCAACUGAAAGGCAAUCUUUACUGGAAACAAAUGGAACAGGCAAAUAUUUGCCCCAUCAGAACAUGGCAAUCCAUGAAGAACCAUUUUAUGAAAUCUCUUAUCUACAAUUUGAGACCGUAUGAAAUUCCAAAAAAAGACUUUGAUGAAUUCAAGCAGUGGUAUUUUGCAAAAUCUCAUAAACAGCAUGGCUCAAAAUUGUAUUGAAGCACAUAUUUACUCACUCAAAAUUUUAUUGAUGGGACCAACUGAAACAAGUAAUAUUUCAUUCACUUUUUUAUUCCUCUUUGUAAUCUUUUUUGGCAAAUAUGUUAAAUUUGUUGUGAAUGUAAGCAAAAAUGUUCUAGUCACUGUACUGAACACAAUUAAGUGUGGAAAACUUACGUUAAUGAUGAAUCAUCAACGAUUGGGUCAAAAGAUGUGGCAUAUCGUUUUGGGACAAAAAAUUAAAAUCUGA